rnacentral:misc_RNA from 1 species
UACAAACAGAAAUAGUAGUACUAUAAUCAGCUUGGAGCAGAAAGAACACCUAAGAGAGGAGAAGAUUCUAUGGUAUGUCCAAAGCAUUCCAAUAUAAAACCAGCAUGAGAAGGGAUUAAACAAAUAAAUUUGUGAGGAAUCUGUUUUACUCCUUUAUUCACAAAUAGGAAGAAGACUAAAAAGGAGCUUGCUAUAGCUAUAUUCCAGUAUUACAGUACAAGACUCAAAUCACUGUAAGAAAUUAAAAGAUAAGCACAAACAAUCAAUCACACAACACAGAAAGAGCUAUACAAUUCAAGUAAUUAAAAAAAAAAAAUAAUACUUAACAGGAUUUUUUGAAAUCAUAUAUGUUUCACAAUUGCAGAUCGGUUACAGCAAUGAAGCUUUUUAUCAAUGAAUGAAGCUUACAGUACAAUAAUGAAAAAUAUACCAAAUUCACAUUCUUGGUCAUAUAAAGUUGCAAGUAAGAACCAUGCCAUUAGGCUUGAUUCCUAAAGCACAGAUUUAAUAAGUGACUUCACAUCUCAUAUAGCUCAAAAUCCUAAGCUCAAAUCAAUAUUCAAUUAAAGAAGUAAAAGCUGAAGUUCAGAUGCACAUGCUUUGGCCUUAACGCUGUUUGAGAGUUUUUGUUAAAUAGCAAAGGGAAGGAUAAUUUUCAAUCCAUGGAUACAAAAAAAGAAAUGAAAUGUCCAGUUAUUUCUCAUGUUUGGAAGUUUCAAUAGAUAGGAAAGGAUUUUCAGGGUAGAAUAGUCAUUUUAAAAAAUAUUUUUAAUGUUGAGAGGGAAUAACUCUUGUUCUUUCAAUUUGAUGGGAAAGCAAAGUGAGGGGAUAACUAGUCCCUACUCAUCUUUUACUUUUCAACUUCAUUGGACUUCCAAAUAAGGGAUAACUCAUAUCCCUUGACCUUUUCCUUUCCUAUCCCCUCCAUCGAAAGUGUGUUGGUGGGUUGUUAUAGUUACCGUAGAAUAGGUAGUCUGACUUUAUGUUCAUUUCAUGUGAUUCCAAUAUAUUUUUAAUAUUGGGCCUCGUCCAGCACUUCUGAGCUUGUGCCAAAUUCUCAGUUACUAUUAUGACCUUCAAAACCUUGUUUAAGCUUGUUAGUUGAUGGGAAAACUUGUAUCAGCUGUGUUGAUUAUGUUCAAUUCAGUGUGAGACCUUUUACUUGAGUUGGUGAGUUAUCUACCAGUGGUGCAUUCUUAUAGCUGUAUGGGAUGUUUAGAUUUCUGUGAGAGACUGGAGUUUUUCCACAGGUGGCUUUGGUUCUUUGGGAGUGAAAUCUGCCUCUUUCAGCAUCUCCCUAUUUUCAUUUUCAAAUUUUAUAAUUAUGUGAGUGUCUGAAUUGUAGUCUUGUGCUCUGUUUAGGUGUUGUUUAUGAUAUCUGCAACCUUUUAGGUUGUGCUUCCUCUGUAUGGUGUUAUAUGUUACUCUCUUAUUAUUUAUCUUCUUUUUAUGGAGUUAUGUUUAUUUUCUUUUUAUAUGUUAUAUACUGCACAGUUCCUGAGGUUGAGGCUGAAUCA